AACGAACGCUGGCGGCAGGCUUAACACAUGCAAGUCGAACGGGUGUAGCAAUACAUCAGUGGCAGACGGGUGAGUAACACGUGGGAACCUUCCUAGGGGUACGGAACAACUCAGGGAAACUUGAGCUAAUACCGUAUACGUCCGUGAGGAGAAAGAUUUAUCGCCCUUAGACGGGCCCGCGUCGGAUUAGCUAGUUGGUGGGGUAACGGCCUACCAAGGCGACGAUCCGUAGCUGAUCUUAGAGGAUGAUCAGCCACACUGGGACUGAGACACGGCCCAGACUCCUACGGGAGGCAGCAGUGGGGAAUCUUGGACAAUGGGCGCAAGCCUGAUCCAGCCAUGCCGCGUGAGUGAAGAAGGUCUUCGGAUUGUAAAGCUCUUUUGCCAGGGACGAUAAUGACGGUACCUGGAGAAUGAGCCCCGGCAAACUCUGUGCCAGCAGCCGCCGUAA
rnacentral:rRNA from 1 species